CGGGGUAGAGCAGUUGGUAGCUCGUCGGGCUCAUAACCCGGAGGCCGCAGGUUCAAGUCCUGCCUCCGCAACCA
rnacentral:tRNA from 1 species